GCUAUUCGUAACGGUCUCUCUCUCUGCCUUUCUCUAAUAUUUUCUUCCUAGUUUCAAGCUGGAGAGAUUUUAUGAAGGGUGGAAAGAAGGGUGGUCAGAUUACGUAGAAUGCGUGAAGUGAAUCAAGAAGUUGUCCAAAAACAAGGCUUUUGUUAAAUAAGAUUACGUAGAAUGUGUAUUUUGUUAAAUAAGAUUUCAUUUUGUGUAUGCAAAUGUAAAAGACAAAUAUUAAAGUUUCUAAAUAAUAUUAAUUUUAUUGA